rnacentral:rRNA from 1 species
UCGCCUAUCGACAGCGACCCC